GUGAGGAAUUUUCCGCAAUGGGCGAAAGCCUGACGGAGCAAUGCCGCGUGAAGGAUGAAGGCCUAUGGGUUGUAAACUUCUUUUCUCAGAAAAGAAUUAUGACGGUAUCUGAGGAAUAAGCAUCGGCUAACUCUGUGCCAGCAGCCGCGGUAAGACAGAGGAUGCAAGCGUUAUCCGGAAUGAUUGGGCGUAAAGCGUCUGUAGGUUGUUUAAAAAGUAUUCUGUCAAAGAUUAGGGCUUAACCCUAGAUAGGCAGAAUAAACUUUUAAGCUAGAGUUUGGUAGAGGCGGAGGGAAUUCCCGGUGGAGCGGUGAAAUGCGUAGAUAUCGGGAGGAACACCAAAGGCGAAGGCACUCUGCUGGGCCAAUACUAACACUGAGAGACGAAAGCGAGGGGAGCAAAUGGGAUUAGAAACCCUGGUAGUCC
rnacentral:rRNA from 1 species